CAGUCGCCGCGGGAAUACGUAGGUCCCGAGCGUUGUCCGGAUUUAUUGGGCGUAAAGCGAGCGCAGGCGGUCAGAUAAGUCUGAAGUUAAAGGCUGUGGCUUAACCAUAGUACGCUUUGGAAACUGUUUAACUUGAGUGCAAGAGGGGGGAGUGGAAUUCCAUGUGUAGCGGUGAAAUGCGUAGAUAUAUGGAGGAACACCGGUGGCGAAAGCGGCUCUUUGGCUUGUAACUGACGCUGAGGCUCGAAAGCGUGGGGAGCAAACAGGAUUAGAUACCCGCGUAGUCCCUGUCUCUUAUACA
rnacentral:rRNA from 1 species